rnacentral:rRNA from 1 species
CAGUAGCCACGGGAAUACGGAGGGUGCAAGCGUUAAUCGGAAUUACUGGGCGUAAAGCGCACGCAGGCGGUUUGUUAAGUCAGAUGUGAAAUCCCCGAGCUUAACUUGGGAACUGCAUUUGAAACUGGCAAGCUAGAGUCUUGUAGAGGGGGGUAGAAUUCCAGGUGUAGCGGUGAAAUGCGUAGAGAUCUGGAGGAAUACCGGUGGCGAAGGCGGCCCCCUGGACAAAGACUGACGCUCAGGUGCGAAAGCGUGGGGAGCAAACAGGAUUAGAUACCCGGGUAGUCCCUGUCUCUUAUAC